UGUAGUAGGGGAGGCUAGGACCAGCACUAGGCGGGCCCCAGCAGCCUUACCUGGGGUCCUGGGAGCCCUCUGGGGCUGCAGCAACAACGAUCCUGCCACUCAGAAGCUGGGUGGAAGCCAGAGGAUGGCUCUGGGGCAGCUAGAGAAG